AAAAAGACAAACCCUGGUUUUCGUAUCCAACGUUUGAUUGUCCGUCUUAUAUGAAUUUUUUUAUAAUUGGUAUUUUUAUUGUUGUUAGAUGAUAAAACAUGAUUAAUAAUUUAUGUGUGACUUGUCUUUUUAAUUUUUUCAAGUAAGACGGACAGUCAAACGUUGGACACGGAAAUUUAGAGUUUGUCUUUUU
rnacentral:pre_miRNA from 1 species